AGUGAACGCUGGCGGUAGGCCUAACACAUGCAAGUCGAACGGCAGCACAGGAGAGCUUGCUCUCUGGGUGGCGAGUGGCGGACGGGUGAGGAAUACAUCGGAAUCUACUUUUUCGUGGGGGAUAACGUAGGGAAACUUACGCUAAUACCGCAUACGACCUACGGGUGAAAGCAGGGGAUCUUCGGACCUUGCGCGAUUGAAUGAGCCGAUGUUGGAUUAGCUAGUUGGCGGGGUAAAGGCCCACCAAGGCGACGAUCCGUAGCUGGUCUGAGAGGAUGAUCAGCCACACUGGAACUGAGACACGGUCCAGACUCCUACGGGAGGCAGCAGUGGGGAAUAUUGGACAAUGGGCGCAAGCCUGAUCCAGCCAUACCGCGUGGGUGAAGAAGGCCUUCGGGUUGUAAAGCCCUUUUGUUGGGAAAGAAAUCCAGCUGGUUAAUACCCGGUUGGGAUGACGGUACCCAAAGAAUAAGCACCGGCUAACUACGUGCCAGCCGCCGCAGUAA
rnacentral:rRNA from 1 species